rnacentral:rRNA from 1 species
GAUGAACGCUGGCGGCGUGCCUAAUACAUGCAAGUCGAGCGAACAGACGAGGAGCUUGCUCCUCUGACGUUAGCGGAGGACGGGUGAGUAACACGUGGAUAAUCUACCUAUAAGACUGGGAUCACUUCGGGAAACCGGCGCUAAUACCGGAUAAUCUAUUGCACCGCAUGGUUCAAUAGUGAAAGACGGUUUUGCUGUCACUUCUAGAUGGAUCUGCGCCGCAUUAGGUAGUUGGUAUUGUAAAGGCGUACCAAGGCAACGGUGCGUAGCCGGCCUGGGAGGGUCGCCGGCCACAGAGGAACAGAGGCACGGUCGGGACUGCGACGAGGGGCAGCAGUAGGGGAGCGGCCGCAGUGGGGGAAAGCCUGAAAGGGGAGCGCCGCUGAAGUAGUGAAGGUGUUCGGGGCAUAAAGCCCUGUUAUUAGGAAAGAACAAAUGUGUGAGAAGCUAUGCGCGUGUUGACGGUAGGUAAACAGAAAGCCACUGCUAACGAC